AUUGAACGCUGGCGGCAUGCCUUACACAUGCAAGUCGAACGGUAACGGGCCUUCGGGUGCCGACGAGUGGCGAACGGGUGAGUAAUGUAUCGGAACGUACCUUUCAGUGGGGGAUAACGUAGCGAAAGUUACGCUAAUACCGCAUAUUCUGUGAGCAGGAAAGCGGGGGAUCGCAAGACCUUGCGCUGAUUGAGCGGCCGAUAUCAGAUUAGCUAGUUGGUGAGGUAAAGGCUCACCAAGGCGACGAUCUGUAGCGGGUCUGAGAGGAUGAUCCGCCACACUGGAACUGAGACACGGUCCAGACUCCCACGGGAGGCAGCAGUGGGGAAUUUUGGACAAUGGGGGCAACCCUGAUCCAGCCAUGCCGCGUGAGUGAAGAAGGCCUUCGGGUUGUAAAGCUCUUUCGGCCGGGAAGAAAUCGUAUCAGCUAAUACCCUGUGUGGAUGACGGUACCGGAAUAAGAAGCACCGGCUAACUACGUGCCAGCAGCCGCCGUAACAC
rnacentral:rRNA from 1 species